UAGACUAGAAAAAAGCAGUAGCAAUCAUGACGACAGUGACAAUGACAGCUGAACUUCUGAAGAGGAGGGUAUAACAUGCUUAAGUUUGUGCAUGAAGAGCCCUUGGCGAGAGGAGAUCUUCUGUCCUAAGCAAGGGCCCCAACAACUUCCAAGCAAGGAACCUGAAAAGUGAUCUUUCUCCUGUGCCCACUCGGAGCAGGCCUGGCUGCUGCAGAUCUGACGCCCAUUUGCAUGUCUGUGGUCGUGAUAUUUCGGAGUGGCUGACAAUGCCCACUCCAUCCCCCUGGUAUGACAAUCCACCCUUUGUCCAGGGCCUUGUUUGCUUUUGGUGUUGACACAUUGUUCUUGCUUCCCAACAAGCGUGGCUCUCUUUUCCCUCCCUGUCCUUCUCUCAGAAGGACAUGUGGCUGGGCCUGCCAAGGUCCAUUCCCAGGCCCAAGGUCCAUUCCGGCACCCAGGAUGGCAGUGGAGGUGGUGAGAACAAGAAAGCAGUCCUGCCUGCUGUGACCUUCCACUCCGAUGGGCAUCCCAAUCUACCCGGGAGGGGGAGAGCCACAUGCCUGUGGAAAGGGGGGUCCAGCAGGGACCCCAACAGGCGCACUGUUCUUGGUGGGUGGGAGAAGAUGGCUUUGGUGGCCCAGGAUUGGGUUUGGCUGUGUGCUGUGGCACACAGUGGGGAGUCAUAACUCUCUCCUUCCUCAGUACUCUGCUGGACUUUACGGUCUUAGAGGCGUAGCCCCGCAUGGUGAGGAGUGUGGACAGCAUAAGCAGAGAUCUCCAGGGACAACCAGUGUGGCCGAGGCCACCAGUGGAAGGAGAAAUGGAAGCUGUCACAAGGAGCUGCCCAGGGCCUGAGACAGUCUUCCACAGGAACUGGGUGUGGCAGGAGGCUGCGGGGAGCAGGACAGCCCACUUGUAACAGCUGAUCCUCAAAAAUGCGUGACCAUCCACCUGGCCCAAGGACACCAUGCUGUCCUGCACAGCAGCGUCCUUACUCUGCUGGGCCCGAGCCUCUCGGAGAUGGAGGGAAUACAUGCCCACCUGGGAGAAGGUGGGUGAAGGGGCCUCUCUGGAGCCAUCCCUCGAACUCUGGCAAAAGGCCCGGGUUCUCUAACCUGCCUUUCUCCCUCAGCCUCUCCUCUGUCACUCUCCCCCCAUGCACACAGGUUGUCUGUGCCUUGCUUUCCACCAGGAGAUAACAGGUCUGGGCUGGGAGCCAGAGCAAGGUGCCAAGGCUGUGAGUGAGGCCUCCCAGGCUGAUGCAAGAAAAUCCUCCCUGUCUCUCCCACUUCAGCGGGACUCACAUCCUGGAUUCUCAGUUCUCUACAUCCUGGGUUUGGUGCAUUCAGCUUCUUCCUGCUCUUCUGCCCCCAACAGGUUGGGCACACAGCCGUAGGAGACACCCCCAGCCCAGAGCACUCGUGAAAGAUGCCUUUGUGUUGCGUUCACAUGGUGAGGCCUGGGGCCCUUCUUGGUGUGGCAGAGUGGGCCCCACCUGUGACUAUAAGUCUAACCCUAGCCUCAAAGAAUCCUGCAGACUCCCAGGGUGACAGCUACACCCCAGGAGAGACCUAAAGGCCCACAAGUCAUUACAAGCCCAGGUUCCCACAUGCUAGGGAGCUGCCUGUGACCACAGAGGCAAGACCCUAAAUGGGAAGGUGAGCUGGCCUACAGAUGCAGAAACUGCUGACUGUCUGGGGAGGUGUGGGUGUUGGCUCCAGGGCUGAGAGGCUGGCUGGCUGAGGGGAGGCAAAGGAGGGGAGUACUCUCAGAGCUCUUGCAAAGGGCCUGAGAAACCCCUCAAUAUUUCUGGGAUGUGGGGCCAGCCUUCCCCAGAGCUCUGCUGUGAGCAGGCCCAUGGUGAACCACACUAAUGAGCCCAUAACACAGGCCUUUGACUAAACAGCUCCCAGCCCAGCAACUUUAUUGAAAAAUACCAAGGCCAGCGGCUCAUUCCCACCACUCCCAGGUUCCCUGGGCAACAGCCCACGGGUACGAAGUGCCCCAGCUCACUGAGGGGCUGCCAGGCAGGGAGGGAGUUGGGAAUGCCAGAUGCCAGGGGACCAUCUACAAGGUUUCGAAGCUUCCUUCCAGAUGACUGAGGGGCCACAUGACAUCUGCUGAGUCCUCUAGGGCCUGCAGUUCUGGGACCGCUGGUCACCCCACCACUCCAGCCAGGGAGACAUUCCCAGGGUUUGGACGACGUGAAGGACACGUUCAGAGUUGAGGGUGGGACACAAAACUGGAUGGACUUUCUUCUUGGGUUCAAGGAGACUCUAGUCCCUGUUUCCCCUCAAAAUGGAGGUGGACCUUGGACAGUGCACGGGGCCUACAAGAGACUCAUGCUGAGAGGUGGCAGCAAGGUCACCUCUUGUAGUGACAGCCUGCGAACUCUCAGAGGUCUCAGGAGUCGGGGUCUCCUGCACAGCCCACAUCCCUCUCCCCUAGCUCUGCUGGGGGAGAGGUCCAUGCCCUCAGGUUCGUGGCAGAGGGCCAGUAGACUGGGAUAUAACUGGGGUCAGGAGUAGGGGGAUUUCCACUUGUGCUGGGUUGAUUUCAAAUGUUACAUUUCAGAGCUUUUGCUACAGUAACUAGCAACACCACUGUGGACAGAAAUCUAAUGUUACCAAGUGGGACUUUUAAAAUGUAUUUAUAAC